AAUAACUGAGUCGAUGGUUCUUGGGCAUCCUUCUCUCUCCAUCCCUCCUUCGAGUGAGCCACGUGCAUGAGGCUGCCAUUGUGCGUACGUCAAUGUUAUCCUCAUCUUUCACCAGCAUCCUUGUUGCCUGUGCAGUAAUGAUAGCUGGGAGGCAAGGACGGUUCUCUCCACGCCCCUAAGGCCAUCACCACUGCACACUCCAAUUUUCACUACCUUUUCACACCAAGAAGCCAUACAAGAUUUAGACACCACCACCACCACCACCACCACCAACAACAACAACAACAACAACAACAACAACAACAACAACAACAACAACAACAACAAC